CGGCGCCGACGUGCGCGUGGAGCGGCGCUUCGUGCCCGCGCGCUGCCCGCGCGCCGUGCGCCACGGGGACUUCGUGCGCUACCACUACCACGGUGCCUUCGCCGACGGCACCCGCUUCGACUCCAGCUAUGACAGGGGCUCCACGUUCAAUGUGUUCGUGGGGAAGGGGCAGCUCAUUGCCGGCAUGGACAAGGCCCUGGUCGGCAUGUGCGUGAACGAGCGGCGCUUCGUGCAGAUCCCGCCCCAGCUCGCCUACGGAAGCGACGGCGUCGCCGGCGUGAUCCCGCCGAACGCUGUGCUCCACUUCGACGUGCUCCUCAUAGACCUGUGGAAUUCCGAGGAUGAAGUGCAGAUUCAGACCUACUUUAAGCCCGAGGCUUGUCCGCGCACCGUGCAGGUGUC